rnacentral:lncRNA from 1 species
GUCCAGGGCCGGACGCAGCCAGCCAUUCAGGAAGGCAGCGCUGGAGAGCGGGAGGCAGCCGGCGAGGAAGAUCACACACUUUGCUCUUUUUGUUGUGCCGGUGGCGCCGGGCUCUCGCUGCCUUCUUCUUUCGGGAGGUGACGGAAGGGGGAGAAAAAUACGGGAUAAUUCACGCCGGCGACGAAAUCACAGCGAAAUAGAAAAAAUAAAAAUCAGAAGAAAAUAAUUGCCAAAAAAAGGAAAAAGGAAAAGCGAGAGAGACAUCCAAACAGGUAGAUGAAACUCAAGAGAAAAGGUGUGGAUAAAUGAAACUAGCCCAUGAUGAACCUGUUUUCUCCGUGACCACAAUAUUAACCAGGAUGAAUGGCGGUGGCAGUGGGCCUGCAUCACAGGUUGCAGCAGAUGUUCUCAAUAUUUCUAUUAAAAUUUCCUUAUUUCCAUAUGCAAGAGGAGCCCCAGAGCUGCAUCCUUAUGGUAGCUACCAUGCCGUGAUGUAAGCUGCCAUUCACUGGGGAGCUUUGGCAAUAGAAUUGGCUAGAUCAGGAAGCCUAUGUCAACUAUGGAACAACAACUUGCAGCUCAUCUCUAUUGAUGAUACACUGCCUCUAGGACUGGGACAGAUAGCCACUGAGUACCUGCUUCAAAUCACCCUGCACGUUUUCUCUUUGGAAAGAUAAGCACUGGAGAACCAUCUCGUUACCUUCAGCAGAAAUGGAAACAAAUCAAGACAUUAAGAAUGCCGCAGUGGACAGCAGUUAUGCAAGGUUCAGCAGAGGAAGUUUUCAAGAUGGUGUGCCUCACUAGCCAGAAAUCAGAAAAGAUCGAAGCUAGCCUUUUCAUCUCAGCUGCUCCUUAAAUCAGUGCAACCCCUCCAAAUUAAUGUGAAUUGAAACUUGCAUUGCUUUUCAACUUAAUUGAAUACUUACUAUAUGUGAACCACUGCACAAAAUAGGGGAAGAAGAUGUGGGAGACAAAGAUGUGGAGCCUGUCUUCAAUAAAUUUACAGUUAGUUUCAGGGUACAUUGUUUUUCUUCUGCUGUUAAUUAGGUGUAUCCCCAAGACAAUAAAUACAUGAAUGGAAAAGUAUAUUCUGUGUUUUAAGUCUCUUUAAUAAAAAACAAAACAAAAUCCAAAAAAACUCCUAACAUGGCAACUCAGGACAUUUUAAUCCUUUUUUUUGUU